rnacentral:rRNA from 1 species
UGGGGAAUCUUCCGCAAUGGACGAAAGUCUGACGGAGCAACGCCGCGUGUAUGAUGAAGGUCUUCGGAUUGUAAAGUACUGUCAUUGGGGAAGAACGGUUUUCUUGAAAAGAUUGAGAAGACAUGACGGUACCCAAGGAGGAAGCCCCGGCUAACUACGUGCCAGCAGCCGCGGUAAUACGUAGGGGGCAAGCGUUGUCCGGAAUUAUUGGGCGUAAAGGGCGCGUAGGCGGGCCUUUAAGUCCGGUGUGAAAGAUCAGGGCUCAACCCUGAGAGUGCAUCGGAAACUGGAGGCCUUGAGGACAGGAGAGGAAAGUGGAAUUCCACGUGUAGCGGUGAAAUGCGUAGAUAUGUGGAGGAACGCCAGUGGCGAAGGCGACUUUCUGGACUGUAACUGACGCUGAGGCGCGAAAGCGUGGGGAGCAAACAGGAUUAGAUACCCUGGUAGUCCACGCCGUAAACGAUGAGUGCUAGGUGUAGAGGGUAUCGACCCCUUCUGUGCCGCAGUUAACACAAUAAGCACUCCGCCUGGGGAGUACGGCCGCAAGGUUGAAACU